UACGUAGGUGGCGAGCGUUGUCCGGAUUUACUGGGCGUAAAGGGCGUGCAGGCGGUUUGUUAAGUGCAGGGUGAAAGCUCCCGGCUCAACUGGGAGAGGUCCUUGCAUACUGGCGAACUCGAGGGAGGCAGAGGAAAGUGGAAUUCCCGGUGUAGUGGUGAUAUGCGUAGAUAUCGGGAGGAACACCUGUGGCGAAGGCGGCUUUCUGGGCCUUACCUGACGCUGAGACGCGAAAGCGUGGGGUGCGAACCGG
rnacentral:rRNA from 1 species